UAUCUCUGUAGAGUCUGCAUAUCAAUAAGCGGAGGAAAAGAAACUAACUAGGAUUCCCUUAGUAACGGCGAGUGAAGCGGGAAGAGCUCAAAUUUGAAAUCUUCAAGGUUCUACCUUGACGAAUUGUAGUUUAAAGAAGUGUUUUCUGUUAGAUGAGUAGCAAAAGUUCCUUGGAAUGGGACAUCAUAGAGGGUGAGAAUCCCGUAUUUGGUUAUUCAUUCUAGCUUUGUGAUACACUUUCAAAGAGUCGGAUUGUUUGGGAAUGCAGUCCAAAAUGGGUGGUAAAUUUCAUCUAAAGCUAAAUAUUGGCGAGAGACCGAUAGCGAACAAGUACCGUGAGGGAAAGAUGAAAAGAACUUUGAAAAGAGAGUUAAACAGUACGUGAAAUUGUCAAAAGGGAAGCGUUUGACACCAGUGUUGUUUUUCCGAAAAUCAAUUACGAAUGGCUUGAUUUUGUGUUGUAUUGACCUUAUCAGCUUUCUUCACUUUUUUCGAGUCUUUCUUAAUGCACUUUUCGGUUAACAAGUCAACAUCAAUUUCUUUUGUUGUAAAAGAGUAUUCGGAAGGUGGCUUUCUUUUCGGAGAAAGUGUUUAUAGCCCUAUACUUCUACAAUCGGAGAGAUUGAGGUCUGCAGCGUAGAUCCUUCGGGGUUAGAUACACUUUGUGCUAAGUUGUAGCUUUUCAUAGACAACUUGUUGACUAUGUUUAGUCAUGCGGCUUACUCGCUUAUGCUAUUUUACCUACGCUUAGGAUGUUGAACUACUGAGACAUAGA
rnacentral:rRNA from 1 species